rnacentral:rRNA from 1 species
GUAGGUGGCAAGCGUUGUCCGGAAUUAUUGGGCGUAAAGCGCGCGCAGGCGGUUCUUUAAGUCUGAUGUGAAAGCCCACGGCUCAACCGUGGAGGGUCAUUGGAAACUGGAGAACUUGAGUACAGAAGAGGAAAGCGGAAUUCCACGUGUAGCGGUGAAAUGCGUAGAGAUGUGGAGGAACACCAGUGGCGAAGGCGGCUUUCUGGUCUGUAACUGACGCUGAGGCGCGAAAGCGUGGGGAGCAAACAGGGAUUAGAUACCCUGGUAGUCCACGCCGUAAGCGAUGAGUGCUAAGUGUUAGGGGGUUUUCCGCCCCCCUUAGUGCUGCAGCUAACGCAUUAAGCACUCCGCCUGGGAGUACGGCCGCAAGGCUG